GAGCAUUGAUGGCCUGGUUUCCAACCUGCGCAUUGUGGAUGGGACGGUGGCAGUGUUCAUUGUUGUUUCUCAGCGCUCCUCCGCGCCAGUGCGGGACCAAGUCGAUGUAUGCUUCAGAAGCAGAGGUGGGUGUCAAAUUGACUCGAUGAUUCAGAGACAGAUGUGGAUGCCAAAAUGAACUACACUUCCUUCUUGAUGGUUCCUGGUAUGCGUAAUUUCCUUUUGAUUUCAGAUUUCUGAGUGCUUGUUGAUUUCGUUUUCCUUCAAACAUUACAGAUGGCUGUGGCGGUUCUGGACUGACCAUGGAGAAAUCUCCUUCUGCAUUGAAAUGUGCAGCAAGAAGAACAACCAGCAGAUUUAGCAUUUAUUUUGCCAAAACUUCAGGUUACUGUAAUUAAAAAUCAGUGUGCCUUUAAUCGGCAUCAACGGCGGUCUCGUUGAUUCAUUGUUGGACAUGGUACCGUAAUUUAGCAUUUAGUUAUUUGGUUUGAUGCACACAUUUGAAAAUCGACAUCCCAAAACCGGUUUCAGUAUUUGCAGUUUGCAGCUAGAUGAUGAAAUAUUUGAUCCUGCUGAUCAACACGGCAUUAUCUAGAUGUUGGCCUUCCACGGCAAGACCAUUUGUUUACUUUGAAAUGCUUGUUCAUGACAUGUAAGUAACUUGCACCAGUCAUGUAUUUGCUAAUAUAAAUAUUCCCUUUGUUAGUUGAAUAAUGUGGUAAUUACACUGUCACUACUUUGCCUGUACGUGCUAGAUAAAGAACUUUGACAUGUUAGGUCUUAUUUUCAGAUCAUGUUAAAUUUCAUGUUUAUAUUACCAACUUACUAUAUUAUCUAUGGUCCAUUUUGUUUAGAUAUUAUAUAUAAUACUGGAGGGUUUUGGUUUCUCGGGGGAUUGAUCCUGGCAUAAUAUACUCCCAUGGUUUUCUAUGAAGGUUUUGGCACUGUUAGGUUCCUUCGUGUGAGAUUUUCAUGGAUGCAUGGGCUGAGUUGAGGUGGUUGGUCUUGUGAUAUGUUAGUUUGUUUUUUUCCCUUUGCGUAUGAAACAGGUAUUUCUCGUAGAAAGAAACGGAAGGUUCUUGCAUUCUAUGUCAGUUAAACACCUUUGUUUCCCUCUCUGUUUGAGAUGAUUGGCUUGUUUCGUAGUCCUACUCUUGAGCACCGCCGAUGAUUAUAAGUGAUCCUUACAUAUGGAAUAGUUUCAUAAUUAGGUAAAUAUGGUGCUACUGGUUAUAAUCAUAGGCAUAUGGUCCUACUCUAGCAAUCUAAAUUGGCAAUUCACGAACAGACUGUAUAAAGUAAAAUGUAGGUGUUACCCAAGUCAUGUUCCCCACAGUCAAAUCCUUAUUCAUGGAAUUCAUAUAUCUUCACAUGUGAUCCUUAUUCA